rnacentral:misc_RNA from 1 species
CAAGAGUAUUUCAGUUUGGCUUUAUGCCCUCUGAAAAUCUCCACCCUUUGUUUACAUUACCUUUGUUGUUGCCUCGGAUGGGUGCUUUAUAGCACCUGCCGGCAGACACCUUCAAAAACCCUUGAUUUAAUACUAUAGUCAGAGCUGUAACAAGCAAAAGAUUAAUAAAUCA